AUUACUACGGUUGCUUCAGAGUCAACAUUUAGUGCUGGUGGUAGAGUUAUUGACACAUAUCGGGCAUCUCUAGGGACAAAUACUGUUCAGAUGCUACUUUGUGGAAGUGAUUGGUUGCGUAACUUAUACAAUCUGAAAAGGAAAGUAAAAUGUACUGAAGAUGUGAAGACUAUAUCACUAGAAUGACUUGGAGUUGAAGAAGCUUUUUUGGAUGUUCCAUGCAAAAUCAGUUACAUUUUAAUGUUUUUGGCUUGUAACUUGUAAGGAUAACAAACAGUUUGUUUGUAUUUUUUUUA